AACUGACCAGAGAACUCAUUGUUUGAACUCUGCUACCCAGCAGAAGAGGUUUAGGGGAGCUUUUCUUCUUUUUCUAAUGAAGAUAUGAGAAUUUCGGCUGUGUUGUUGAGGAUAUAAGGUCCAAGAUCUCUGCCGUCGUCUGCUCCUAAUGACAACCGAGAUUUGGCUUCAGGGUUCUUCUAACUGCAGCUCCAUUAUGAAGCCUGUUGUGCCCUGAAAAACCUGCUUUCUCUUCUGGUCUCUGCGGUGCUCUGAGCUUCUGUGCUUUGGACAUCUUUCAGCAAAUAUUGAGACAGGGUAACUGUCUGAAAAUAAGAAUUCGGUGGUAAUUCCAACUCGACCGACCCCGACCGGUGACCAGCUGGAUGGAAACUCAAAAAUCGUGUCUUUUUGCAGUCACUGAACCAGACCGAAGCACACCACAACACUCUUCUGUGUGGAAGUUGUUACUGAUAAUGGAGAACUCCAAGAUGUCCACUGUCAGUACCAAGAUACAAACACACAAAUAAUGAUGAGAUAAGCAUCACUUACCACCAUCCCGGCUCUCCGCGGGUGCAUCUUGUGCAGGGUUGGUGAUGGCGGUCGGAGGGCGGGCAGCACUCUCCAGUUCAUGCCUGACUGACCUUGUACAGUGCAGCAAGGACAGAGCAGCCAGGCAGCAGAGCAUCAUUACCAUCAUGGAACCAGGAGGAGGGGGGAUCAUGGUGCCGACGAGCCGGUCGAGCUCAUGACGGUUCCUCACAGUCAGCACAGCUGCCCUCUCCGUGCAGGGAUUCACCGACUUCCAAACCUCAGUCUUUCACGGCACGAGAAAGUCUGCAACGCCACAUUAUUUUCUUUACAACAGUCUUUUUGCAUGCUGCGCUAUGUGGCACGUUUAUCCUGCGGGGAUUCUGUAUUAUUUUCUGAAUUAAAAGCAGAGUUGGAUGCCUAAAGUGUUUUAGAAGAAUCCAGUUGCAAUCGUAAUAUGAUCAGAGAUAACAGACGAGAUGAGAGGCGCAUAUGCUAUCACAAAAUCCCAAAGAAUAUGGUUUCUGUUGCACUGCAGGAGAAAACAUCAGCCUCCCAGAGUCUGCAUGCUGUUUCUAUGAGCUUUCAAAUAAGAGCAGAGAGUUUGAGUGCCAGAACGUCCUUCUGCAACGCUUCCGGUUUGAUUUCCCCUGGCUCUGAGGCAAACGUUUUUCAGUUGGCACAAAGGUAAUGUUUUCUUGUGCAACGCUUUGCAGAAAAUAUUCAUACUUGAUCAACUUUUGCAGAUUUAUUCAUGGUGCAGUCGUAGAUGCUAUUGUGUUUUUAUCUGGACUAUUUGUGAUAGACCGAAACAAACAAACACAUGAUGAUGAUGCAGUUAAUUCUUUUUACAAAUAUAAUUCUUUGUGGAUUUGUAUUCAUUGUUUUGGAGAUUCUUAUUUUGUUUUUGUCUUUUUGGGGAGGGGGUGGGGGGGGGGUGUUGUGCUACAAUUACUGCUAAA